UGGGGAAUUUUGGACAAUGGGCGAAAGCCUGAUCCAGCAAUGCCGCGUGUGUGAAGAAGGCCUUCGGGUUGUAAAGCACUUUUGUCCGGAAAGAAAUCCUCUGGGUUAAUACCUCGGGGGGAUGACGGUACCGGAAGAAUAAGCACCGGCUAACUACGUGCCAGCAGCCGCGGUAAUACGUAGGGUGCAAGCGUUAAUCGGAAUUACUGGGCGUAAAGCGUGCGCAGGCGGUUUUGUAAGACGGAUGUGAAAUCCCCGGGCUUAACCUGGGAACUGCAUUCGUGACUGCAAGGCUAGAGUAUGGCAGAGGGGGUAGAAUUCCACGUGUAGCAGUGAAAUGCGUAGAGAUGUGGAGGAAUACCGAUGGCGAAGGCAGCCCCCUGGGCCAAUACUGACGCUCAUGCACGAAAGCGUGGGGAGCAAACAGGAUUAGAUACCCUGGUAGUCCACGCCCUAAACGAUGUCAACUAGUUGUUGGGGAUUCAUUUCCUUAGUAACGUAGCUAACGCGUGAAGUUGACCGCCUGGGGAGUACGGUCGCAAGAUUAAAACUCAAA
rnacentral:rRNA from 1 species